rnacentral:rRNA from 1 species
CGUACACUCCUGCGGGAGGCAGCAGUGAGGAAUAUUGGACAAUGGGUGGAAGCCUGAUCCAGCCAUCCCGCGUGCAGGAAGACGGCCCUAUGGGUUGUAAACUGCUUUUAUCUGGGGAUAAACCUACUUACGUGUAAGUAGCUGAAGGUACCAGAAGAAUAAGCACCGGCUAACUCCGUGCCAGCAGCCGCGGUAAUACGGAGGGUGCAAGCGUUAUCCGGAUUUAUUGGGUUUAAAGGGUCCGUAGGCGGACUGAUAAGUCAGUGGUGAAAUCCGACAGCUUAACUGUCGAACUGCCAUUGAUACUGUUAGUCUUGAGUAAGGUUGAAGUGGCUGGAAUAAGUAGUGUAGCGGUGAAAUGCAUAGAUAUUACUUAGAACACCAAUUGCGAAGGCAGGUCACUAAGUCUUAACUGACGCUGAUGGACGAAAGCGUGGGGAGCGAACAGGAUUAGAAACCCUUGUAGUCCCAUGAU